CUGGAAAUUAGGAGAGCUUUGAGGUGAGCUCUGUGAUCAUGCGAAUGUCUGGUGCACAGCAGGGAACCCCUUCAGCAGAGACGGACAUCAAGCCCUCAAGAGGUGGCGUGCUGGGUGACUCAGAAGCUCGCCUGGUGAGGGCUUCCACACUUCCAGACUCAGAAGGUUGGCUUCUCAUCCUUGGCUUGUUCAGUUCUGGUUAUGAAUGAUUGCCAUCACCCUGGAAAUUAUGGCCUCACAUAGAGAUAUGCAAAAGCAGGAAGAUAAGGCACUGUUUGGCAGGAGCCGUUAUUAUCCCCAUCUUAUGGACGAAGCAGCAGAAGCUUGGUGAGGUGAGAGAUCGUGCGAUAUGUGGCGAGGGUGGGAGAUUUGACCAUGGGAUCCUCUUCCUUGAGUGAUUUUGGGAAGGGGCAGGGAAGAGGUGUCUCUCCUUCCCUGAGGCCACUUGUCCCACCCACAGGAUGGGUGGAGCCUAUAGAACAGUCAUAAGGUUAAGAAAUAAAAGCUGAGUUC